rnacentral:lncRNA from 1 species
AAGUAAAGCAAUUCUAAGAGGCCUACCCAAGAAGGGCUGAAAAAAGUGCUAGCCUAAAUGCCUUCUAGAAGGCCUUUUCUAGUUAUAAUUUAAUCAAUCAAUAGAUAUGCUGGUCUGGCAACGCGAUCAUAGCUGAUAUUUAUGUAUACCUAUUCUUCAAGCGAUCAACACGUGUGUGUAGAAAUUUUAAAAGAAAUAUAAGCAAUAAUUCAAUAAAUAAAUUUAAAGGGUCUAAUGUAAGUGUUGUAAAAAUUUAUAAAAGGGGAAUAAGUAAAAGUAGCUUUCAUAGAAACCUGAAAGUAGAAAAACAAAAGCUCUUAAAUCAAUUGCGAUUGUGCAGAGGCGCACCUCAAGCGAAUAAUGUUAAUUGUGAAAAUCCCAUAAAUACCACUGAUAUUUCCACCACUUCUGCAGCGGCUAAUGUCGAAGAAAUUGAUGUUUCUUUAGUGCCAAGACAUCAGGCGGAAGAAACUUUACAAACUAAAUUAAUUUAAUUGUGCAAUCAGUACAAUCCGACACGCGCAAGUGCAAAUGCAUUGCUCAAAAUUUUAACCUCUGACGGUUUGGCGGUCCCUACCCACAUAAAAACACUUUUAAAAAAUAAAAAUUGCUCAGAAAGUGUGAUUUUUAGGACAGUGUCACCGGGAAGCUAUUGCCAUAUAGGUUUUUUGAAACAACUAGAAAAAAUUCCAUAUGAGUUUCUGCGAGAAGAAAAUUCAAUAACUUUUGAUAUAGGGGUAGAUGGUAUUCCGCUCUAUAAAAGCAGUUCCCAAAGUUUGUGGCCAAUUAUGGGAAGGUUUGUGAACAUCAAUAUUGAUGUAUUUUUAAUUGGUGUCUACCUCGGCGGAACAAAGCCUUACAAUAUAGACUCAUAUCUACAUGAUUUAGUUUCGGAAAUAAAAAACCUUAAAGAAAGCGGAGUUGAGCUCUCUGGUCGCAGUUUCCAAAUUGAUUUACGAGCGUUCAUCUGUGAUGCACUUGCUCGGCUCUUUCAUGUGUAGCACGGUAGGCCAUAACGCUUUAAUAGGUUGCGAGAAAUGCUACCAAAGGGGCCAAAGGAUUAAUAACGUAACAACUUUCAGUACAGCCUCAGCUGAACCAAUAACGUAUGAAGAUUUUCGUAACAGAAAGCAAAUACAAUUCCAUAAAGGUUUUCAUCAAAAGAGGCAUAGUGAAUUAGAGUUAAUAGGAAUUGAUCUUAUAAAUAGAAAAACCGUUCAAAAAAUUGGGACUAACGACAAAAACUUGAUGUCAACUAAGUUGAUUUCCCUUGCUCUCUUCAUCCCCAGGGAAUUUCAAAGGAAACCGUGAUCGCUAAAUGAAAUUUGUAGAUCGAAAUCUACGGAGUUCCGGCAAUUUGCCCUUUAUACGGGCUUAGUCGUUUUAAAAGGUAUUGUAGCGAGGAAAUGUAAAAUGGAUAUUUACUACUACAUGCAUCUUAUAGGAUGCUUUCUUCACCAGUAAAUUCCAACUUUAAUUUAAAUAAGGCGGAGGAAAUACUUAAGCUUUUCGUACAAAAGUUUCCAAUUUUGUUUGGCGACUCCUGCGUGACAUUCAAUGUACAUAACCUGCUGCAUUUGCGAAAGUGUGUAGAAGAUAUGGGCGCACUUCCGAAUUUUACUGCUUACAGUUUCGAAAAUUUUAUGCAGGAAUUGAAAAAAAAAUGUCGCCUUCUAAGAUUCUGCAGCAGAUAAGUAACAAAUAUUCCACCUCAGAACUUAAGACUAAGGCUGUCCCAACUGGUUUUAAAAGAAAUAAAUUGGGGAAAAUUAUAAGUUUUCAAAAUGAAAAUUUCUUUGUGAGUACAUGAAUGCCAGAUAAUUUGUGCUGCAUAGCUCCUUUUCAAAUAGUAAGAAUUACUGGAUUUGUCGAAAGACAAUAAAUUUUUUUGAAUGGGACGGUACUCACACACUUAAAAAAUUUCUUUGAGCACCAAUCUAUGCAUAUGUUAGGGAUAUGCACUGGAAAUAUUUUUGAUGAAAACGCUGAUAAGAGAGAUUUUAAGAUAGAUGAAGUAAUGUGCAAAAUGAUGUACUUUCCCUCAGAAAAUGAGUAUUUAUUUAUUCCUCUUUUACACGGCUUCGACAACACUUAUUUAUAAUUUAAAAAUUUCAUAAAAACAAGAUGUCGAAAAAAGUAUUAAAAAGCUUGUGCACUUCAAACGCUAAUUUUGAAACUCACACAAAAUCACAUACAAUUGCGAAACACUGUCACAAAUGAUUCCAAGGACGCGCAAAUAAAUGAUUUACAAUUAAGAAUCGAUAAUUUAUAAAAUACGGUAAACAAGCAAAACGAAAUCAUUAUGGAAGAGCUGGCCACAAUAAAGGCGUACACCCAACAGGUUGUUUUGUUUAAAACAGGAAACGCCGAAAUAAUAAAGCUUUUUCCAAUAAAAACUGAGAAAGAUUUGAAUAACUUCGAAAAUUCAGAAAAUUACGAUGAAAAUGAAAUGAUCAUGACUGUUCGGAAAAUAAUAAAAAAGGCGGUUUGAAGCGAAACUUGUCGAGCCUCCUGGGACUUGAGAUAAUAAAAUCUUUUAAUUAUGAUGGCAUGCAGGGGAAAAAGGCUUUCCGUAACUUAGCUGUGCUUAACAAUAUAUUUUUUAACGCUGCCGAAGACGUGACAACGCGGGAGCAAUAUCGAUCCGAAAUGAAAAGCGGAUUUAAAUUAAGCAAAAGUCGACUAUAUAAAGCAACUCAAUUGCUUAAGAAGCAAAGUAUUUGAUUGACCUUUAAUUUAAGUAAUUCUACUAUUUAUUUUUAUAAACGUUAAUUUUUAGUUUUUUGAUCUCAAUGAAUUCAACUGUACCUAAUUGCAAUACCUUAAUUUUUAUAUUAAAUGAAUUUCUUUGUAUAAGUUAAUAUUUUAAUAUAUUUAGCUUAGCGUUACAAACGAAUGUGAAGUGCAUUUUGAGUUGCAAUAAAACUGGUUUGAAACCUCAGAGAAGUAUGUAUUUUUUUAACUAAAGC